rnacentral:lncRNA from 1 species
ACUAUUUUCUCUUCCAAUUACGUUUUUAUCGCACAUUUCUUCUCAAUCCCGCAUCUCAUAUGUUCUUUUUUUCAUCUUCUCUAAUCUCUCAUCUCAUAUGUUUUUUAUGUUUUAUUAUAAUAUCUUUGAUAUUAUUUUAUUUUACUAUUAUAUAUAUGUUUUUUAUUUCAUUUUUGUCUAAUCUAAUUUUGUGUAUAUUACAUGCGAAGUUUUUGUCUAAAUAUGAUAAGUUUUUAUGUUAUUUAAUAAUGUAUGAAUGACUAAAUACAAAGUUACGUUGUUCUCUAUAGGUGUAUGUAUGACUCAAUAAAAA